rnacentral:rRNA from 1 species
AGAGUUUGAUCCUGGCUCAGGAUAAACGCUGGCGGCGUGCUUUAUGCAUGCAAGUCGAACGGUUUCGAUUUAUCGAGAUAGUGGCAAACGGGUGAGUAACGCGUAAGUAACCUGCCCUUAAGUAGGGGAUAACUCUGAGAAAUCGGAGCUAAUACCGUAUGUGGUGCUGGGGGUAGUGCUCCGGCACUAAAGCCUUCGGGCGCUUAGGGAAGGGCUUGCGUCCGAUUAGCUAGUUGGUAGAGUAAUGGUUUACCAAGGCGACUAUCGGUAGCUGGUCUGAGAGGACGGCCAGCCACACUGGGACUGAGAUACGGUCCAGACUCCUACGGGAGGCAGCAGUGAGGAAUCUUGCGCAAUGGGGGCAACCCUGACGCAGCAACGCCGCGUGAGUGAUGAAGGCCUUCGGGUCGUAAAGCUCUGUCAGAUGGGAAGAAAAUUUUUGCGGUAAAUAAUCGCAGGGAUUGACGGUACCGUUAAAGGAAGCACCGGCUAACUCCGUGCCAGCAGCCGCGGUAAUACGGAGGGUGCAAGCGUUGUUCGGAAUUAUUGGGCGUAAAGAGCGUGUAGGCGGCCUUGUAAGUCAGAUGUGAAAUCCCUUGGCUUAACCAAGGAAGGGCAUUUGAAACUGCUUGGCUUGAGUACGGGAGGGGGAAGUGGAAUUCCCGGUGUAGAGGUGAAAUUCGUAGAUAUCGGGAGGAACACCAGUGGCGAAGGCGGCUUCCUGGACCGAUACUGACGCUGAGACGCGAAAGCGUGGGGAGCAAACAGGAUUAGAUACCCUGGUAGUCC